rnacentral:rRNA from 1 species
UACAGAGGUCUCAAGCGUUGUUCGGAAUCACUGGGCGUAAAGGGUGCGUAGGUGGGCUGGUAAGUCAGUGGUGAAAUCUCCAGGCUUAACUUGGAAACUGCCAUUGAUACUAUCAGUCUUGAAUACCGUGGAGGUCAGCGGAAUAUGUCAUGUAGCGGUGAAAUGCUUAGAUAUGACAUAGAACACCAAUUGCGAAGGCAGCUGGCUACACGAAUAUUGACACUGAUGCACGAAAGCGUGGGGAUCAAACAGG